GCCUGGGUGGCUCAGUCAGUAGAGCAUGUGACUACUGAUCUUGGGGUCAUGAGUUCGAGCCCCAUGCUGGGCA